CAUGCAUGCAUACUUACUGACACACACAGAGAAAGACACAAGUGUGAAAUCAAAUCGGUGACUAAAAGCGUGAAGAGACACACUGAAGCUCACUGACCCACAGUCUUUUGAUGACUAUAUCCGAGGCUAAAACCAGUCACCAGAGGGAUGGCAUAUAAGGAAACGGUUCAUUACAGAGAAAUGCCAUCAUUCAGCUAUGUACUGGACACGACAACACAACACCUGACACAAGGACAGAAAAAGAAACCUACACGUCAUGAUGAAGUAGCUAUCAGGAAGCCCUGGAACAACACAAGAUAAGGCUGAAAAAGCACCAACAUGUCAGUGUGACUCGGUGUUU